rnacentral:rRNA from 1 species
AUUGAACGCUGGCGGCAGGCUUAACACAUGCAAGUCGAACGCCCCGCAAGGGGAGUGGCAGACGGGUGAGUAACGCGUGGGAAUCUACCCAUCUCUGCGGAAUAGCUCCGGGAAACUGGAAUUAAUACCGCAUACGCCCUACGGGGGAAAGAUUUAUCGGGGAUGGAUGAGCCCGCGUUGGAUUAGCUAGUUGGUGGGGUAAAGGCCUACCAAGGCGACGAUCCAUAGCUGGUCUGAGAGGAUGAUCAGCCACAUUGGGACUGAGACACGGCCCAAACUCCUACGGGAGGCAGCAGUGGGGAAUAUUGGACAAUGGGCGCAAGCCUGAUCCAGCCAUGCUGGGUGAGUGAUGAAGGCCUUAGGGUUGUAAAGCUCUUUCACCGGUGAAGAUAAUGACGGUAACCGGAGAAGAAGCCCCGGCUAACUUCGUGCCAGCCGCCGCCGUAAUAC